UACCUGCAGCUCGAGUGGUAACCGCUAUUAUUGGGCCUAAAGCGUCCGUAGCCGGUUUGGUAAAUAUCUGGGUAAAUCGUGAGGCUUAACUUCACGAAUUUCGGAUAGACUGCCAGACUUGGGAUCGGGGGAGGUCAGAGGUACUCCAGGGGUAGCGGUGAAAUGCUGUAAUCCUUGGAGGACCACCGGUAGCGAAGGCGUCUGACUAGAACGAGUCCGACGGUGAGGGACGAAGCCCUGGGGCGCAAACCGGAUUAGAUACCCGGGUAGUCCAGGGUGUAAACAAUGUGGGCUUUGUAUUGGAGGUCCCACGUGGGCGUCCAGUGCAGAAGAGAUGUUGUUAAGCCCACCGCCUGGGAAGUACGGUCGCAAAGGCUGAAACUUAAAGGAAUUGGCGGGGGAGCACAGCAACGGGAGGAGCGUGCGGUUU
rnacentral:rRNA from 1 species